rnacentral:rRNA from 1 species
AGAGUUUGAUCAUGGCUCAGAUUGAACGCUGGCGGCAGGCCUAACACAUGCAAGUCGAGCGGAUGAGUGGAGCUUGCUCCAUGAUUCAGCGGCGGACGGGUGAGUAAUGCCUAGGAAUCUGCCUGGUAGUGGGGGGCAACGUUUCGAAAGGAACGCUAAUACCGCAUACGUCCUACGGGAGAAAGUGGGGGAUCUUCGGACCUCACGCUAUCAGAUGAGCCUAGGUCGGAUUAGCUAGUUGGUGGGGUAAAGGCUCACCAAGGCGACGAUCCGUAACUGGUCUGAGAGGAUGAUCAGUCACACUGGAACUGAGACACGGUCCAGACUCCUACGGGAGGCAGCAGUGGGGAAUAUUGGACAAUGGGCGCAAGCCUGAUCCAGCCAUGCCGCGUGUGUGAAGAAGGUCUUCGGAUUGUAAAGCACUUUAAGUUGGGAGGAAGGGCAGUAAGUUAAUACCUUGCUGUUUUGACGUUACCGACAGAAUAAGCACCGGCUAACUCUGUGCCAGCAGCCGCGGUAAUACAGAGGGUGCAAGCGUUAAUCGGAAUUACUGGGCGUAAAGCGCGCGUAGGUGGUUGGUUAAGUUGGAUGUGAAAGCCCCGGGCUCAACCUGGGAACUGCAUCCAAAACUGGCCGGCUAGAGUACGGUAGAGGGUGGUGGAAUUUCCUGUGUAGCGGUGAAAUGCGUAGAUAUAGGAAGGAACACCAGUGGCGAAGGCGACCACCUGACUGAUACUGACACUGAGGUGCGAAAGCGUGGGGAGCAAACAGGAUUAGAUACCCUGUAGUCCACGCCGUAAACGAUGUCAACUAGCCGUUGGAAUCCUUGAGAUUUUAGUGGCGCAGCUAACGCAUUAAGUUGACCGCCUGGGGGAGUACGGCCGCAAGGUUAAAACUCAAAUGAAUUGACGG